rnacentral:rRNA from 1 species
UACGUAGGCAGCAAGCGUUGUUCGGAGUUACUGGGCGUAAAGGGUGUGUAGGCGGCUUCGUAAGUUCGGUGUGAAAUCUCCUGGCUCAACUGGGAGGGUGCGCCGAAAACUGCGGAGCUGGAGCGCAGGAGAGGAAAGCAGAAUUCCUGGUGUAGCGGUGAAAUGCGUAGAUAUCAGGAGGAAUACCGGUGGUGAAGGCGGCUUUCUGGACUGCUGCUGACGCUGAUACACGAAAGCGUGGGGAGCAAACAGG